UGAGCCUCUGUGGUAGCCCUC
rnacentral:miRNA from 1 species